UUCCGGUUGAUCCUGCCGGACCUGACUGCUAUCGGAUUGAUACUAAGCCAUGCGAGUCUUUGUAGCAAUACAAGGCAGACGGCUCAGUAACACGUAGUCAAUCUAACCUAUGGACGAGGAUAACCUCGGGAAACUGAGAAUAAUACUCGAUAGACCAUAAUGCCUGGAACGGUUUAUGGUUCAAAUGAAUUUCGCCAUAGGGUGGGAUUGCGGUCUAUCAGCUUGUUGGUGAGGUAAUGGCCCACCAAGGCUAUAACAGAUACGGGCUCUGAGAGGAGAAGCCCGGAGAUGGGUACUGAGACACGGACCCAGGCCCUAUGGGGCGCAGCAGGCGAGAAAACUUUGCAAUGUGCGAAAGCACGACAAGGUUAAUCCGAGUGGUUCCUGCUAAAGGAACCUUUUGUUAGUCGUAAUACCACUGAUGAAUAAGGGGUGGGCAAGUUCUGGUGUCAGCCGCCGCGGUAAAACCAGCACCUCAAGUGGUCAGGAGGAUUAUUGGGCCUAAAGCAUCCGUAGCCUGCUCUGUAAGUUUUCGGUUAAAUCUAUAUGCUCAACAUAUGGGCUGCCGGGAAUACUGCAAAGCUAGGAAGUGGGAGAGGUAGACGGUACUCCGUAGAAGGGGUAAAAUCCUUUGAUCUAUGGAUGACCACCAGUGGCGAAGGCGGUCUACCAGAACACGUUCGACGGUGAGGGAUGAAAGCUGGGGGAGCAAACCGGAUUAGAUACCCGGGUAGUCCCAGCUGUAAACUAUGCAAACUCGGUGAUGCAUUGGCUUGU
rnacentral:rRNA from 1 species